rnacentral:rRNA from 1 species
UACGGGGGGAGCAAGCGUUGUUCGGAUUUACUGGGCGUAAAGCGUGCGUAGACGGCUAUCUAAGUCGGGUGUGAAAGCCCCGGGCUCAACCUGGGGAUUGCAUUCGAGACUGAAUAGCUAGGGUACGGUAGAGGGAAGCGGAAUUUCCGGUGUAGCGGUGAAAUGCGUAGAUAUCGGAAGGAACAUCAGUGGCGAAAGCGGCUUCCUGGACCAGUACCGACGUUCAGGCACGAAAGCGUGGGGAGCAAACAGG